CGUGCCUAAUACAUGCAAGUCGAGCGAGCGGAACUAACAGAUUUACUUCGGUAAUGACGUUAGGAAAGCGAGCGGCGGAUGGGUGAGUAACACGUGGGGAACCUGCCCCAUAGUCUGGGAUACCACUUGGAAACAGGUGCUAAUACCGGAUAAGAAAGCAGAUCGCAUGAUCAGCUUUUAAAAGGCGGCGUAAGCUGUCGCUAUGGGAUGGCCCCGCGGUGCAUUAGCUAGUUGGUAAGGUAAAGGCUUACCAAGGCGAUGAUGCAUAGCCGAGUUGAGAGACUGAUCGGCCACAUUGGGACUGAGACACGGCCCAAACUCCUACGGGAGGCAGCAGUAGGGAAUCUUCCACAAUGGACGCAAGUCUGAUGGAGCAACGCCGCGUGAGUGAAGAAGGUUUUCGGAUCGUAAAGCUCUGUUGUUGGUGAAGAAGGAUAGAGGUAGUAACUGGCCUUUAUUUGACGGUAAUCAACCAGAAAGUCACGGCUAACUACGUGCCAGCAGCCGCGGUAAUACGUAGGUGGCAAGCGUUGUCCGGAUUUAUUGGGCGUAAAGCGAGCGCAGGCGGAAGAAUAAGUCUGAUGUGAAAGCCCUCGGCUUAACCGAGGAACUGCAUCGGAAACUGUUUUUCUUGAGUGCAGAAGAGGAGAGUGGAACUCCAUGUGUAGCGGUGGAAUGCGUAGAUAUAUGGAAGAACACCAGUGGCGAAGGCGGCUCUCUGGUCUGCAACUGACGCUGAGGCUCGAAAGCAUGGGUAGCGAACAGGAUUAGAUACCCUGGUAGUCCAUGCCGUAAACGAUGAGUGCUAAGUGUUGGGAGGUUUCCGCCUCUCAGUGCUGCAGCUAACGCAUUAAGCACUCCGCCUGGGGAGUACGACCGCAAGGUUGAAACUCAAAGGAAUUGUCGGGGGCCCGCACAAGCGGUGGAGCAUGUGGUUUAAUUCGAAGCAACGCGAAGAACCUUACCAGGUCUUGACAUCUAGUGUCAUUUGUAGAGAUACAAAGUUCCCUUCGGGGACGCUAAGACAGGUGGUGCAUGGCUGUCGUCAGCUCGUGUCGUGAGAUGUUGGGUUAAGUCCCGCAACGAGCGCAACCCUUGUUAUUAGUUGCCAGCAUUAAGUUGGGCACUCUAAUGAGACUGCCGGUGACAAACCGGAGGAAGGUGGGGAUGACGUCAAGUCAUCAUGCCCCUUAUGACCUGGGCUACACACGUGCUACAAUGGGCAGUACAACGAGAAGCGAGCCUGCGAAGGCAAGCGAAUCUCUGAAAGCUGUUCUCAGUUCGGACUGCAGUCUGCAACUCGACUGCACGAAGCUGGAAUCGCUAGUAAUCGCGGAUCAGCACGCCGCGGUGAAUACGUUCCCGGGCCUUGUACACACCGCCCGUCACACCAUGGGAGUCUGCAAUGCCCAAAGCCGGUGGCCUAACCUUCGGGAAGGAGCCGUCUAAGGCAGGGCAGAUGACUGGGGUGAA
rnacentral:rRNA from 1 species